GGCUGGUCCGAUGGCAGUGGGUUAUCAGAACUUACUAACAUUAGUGUCACUAAGUUGAUAUACCACCCCCCCCCACUGCUAAAUUUGACUGGCUUUAA
ensembl:misc_RNA Y_RNA Y RNA